GCAGUAGCCGCGGGAAUACGUAGGGGGCAAGCGUUAUCCGGAAUUACUGGGUGUAAAGGGAGCGUAGACGGUUAAACAAGUCUGAAGUGAAAUGCCGGGGCUCAACCCCGGAGCUGCUUUGGGAACUGUAGAACUGGAGUGUCGGAGGGGUAAGCGGAAUUCCCAGUGUAGCGGUGAAAUGCGUAGAUAUUGGGAGGAACACCGGCGGCGAAGGCGGCUUACUGGACGACAACUGACGUUGAGGCUCGAAGGCGUGGGUAGUAAACUGGAUUAGAUACCCCGGUAGUCCCUGUCUCUUAUAC
rnacentral:rRNA from 1 species